rnacentral:misc_RNA from 1 species
AACGCUAUUAUUGAUACAGUUUCUGUACUAUAUUGGUNACGCGAAGCUUGCAACCCGCCUCUGGUCGUAUGUUUGGUCAAUUUCUUUUGACCGGGGUCUACGGAC